UACGUAGGGUGCGAGCGUUAAUCGGAAUUACUGGGCGUAAAGCGUGCGCAGGCGGUUUUGUAAGACCGAUGUGAAAUCCCCGGGCUUAACCUGGGAACUGCAUUGGUGACUGCAAGGCUUGAGUAUGGCAGAGGGGGGGUAGAAUUCCACGUGUAGCAGUGAAAUGCGUAGAGAUGUGGAGGAAUACCGAUGGCGAAGGCAGCCCCCUGGGUCAAUACUGACGCUCAUGCACGAAAGCGUGGGGAGCAAACAGG
rnacentral:rRNA from 1 species